rnacentral:rRNA from 1 species
GACGUAGGGCGCGAGCGUUGUCCGGAUUUAUUGGGCGUAAAGAGCUCGUAGGCGGCUUGUCACGUCUGCUGUGAAAUCCCGAGGCUCAACCUCGGGCCUGCAGUGGGUACGGGCAGACUGGAGUGCGGUAGGGGAGAAUGGAAUUCCUGGUGUAGCGGUGGAAUGCGCAGAUAUCAGGAGGAACACCGAUGGCGAAGGCAGUUCUCUGGGCCGUAACUGACGCUGAGGAGCGAAAGCGUGGGGAGCGAACAGG